CUGAGGGAAAAAUCCCGUUGCGAAAUCAAGCACGUAUGUUGUCAUUUUCGCAACGACCCGUUGUUAUAUUUUUCAACAACGGCUGUUGGUGAAUUGUGCACGAACGUGCUCAAAUUGACACCGAGACGUGGUCAACUUUCGGUACCAACAACAGCCGUGCUUAAUUUGUCCAUUUGUAAUAUUGGUAAUUGCAGCCGAUUACACACGAGUAAAAAAUGACAACGGUGGUGCAUGAUUCACACACGGUCGUUGUCAAUAUGACACCGGUCGUGUAUGAAUUAUGCACCACCACCUGCAUAAUGAUGCACCACCGUUGUUACUUUGUACACCGACGUGCAUGAAUCGUACACGAUCGUUGCCAUUUUAGCAACUACCGUGUAUGAAUCAUGCACCACCGUUGUCAUUUUUUUUACUCGUGUGCAAUCGGCUGCAUAUUUACCAUUUUUUCCGUGUUAUUGAAAGAGAAAGGACGCAUUGUGCAAAAAAUUUAUUGAAAAUGAAUAAUAAUUCGCAAGAUCCUCAAAAUAUCAUUGGUGAGUUGUUAGAAAUCGAUGGCAAUAUUGUUGUGGUUCGCGAUACAAACCAUUGCAGUAGUCAAGAUGCGGAAAACAAUGAGGACGAUUAUAUGUUAAGGGAGUUCUUAAAAGGAAUAAAUAUGGAGUCGCUUUUUGAACAAUUAAAAGGUAAGUAAAUAAAAAUGAAUUUUUCAGUUAAUCAGUGUAAUUAACAAAGAAUUUUCUUUUUUGUUCUUUUAGCAUCACAUGUAACAUUUCGCAGCUUGCAGUACUUGAAAAAAGAAGAUUUAAAGGAAGCAGUGCCACCAUUGGGACUGCGUGUUGAAUUCAGAGAAAAGCUCUUUGCUUGGAAAAAACGAAAGCUCGGGAUUGAUGACGAAACUAUGUCAGUUCCAUCUAAAAUAGGUGAAUGGUGGAAACGCAACGAGACACCUGCAAGUACUCCUGGUACUCCCGACACUACAGGUUCGAACUGCUCAAAAGCCAAAGGAAUUUUGUCAGAGGAUCUAACGGAAUUGUUAACACAUACCUCGAAGGGGAAACUAGCGCUUGAAUGUAGUAGCGUUAAUAAGAAAUUAAGUGACGAGCAAAGAGAUGAUAUAAUUAAUAUAAUUAUUGAAGAUAUUUUAACCAACAAUGUUACUCUUUACACUCAAGACUAUAUGCGCAUAUUGGAUGAAAUUUGUUCCGUUUUUCCUCUUGAAAACGAAAUGAGGGUAAGAUUAACAAUAUAAACAACGUAUCUGAUUAUGUAGUUUCUUAACUUAUAAUAUGUCUUUAUUUUUAGGAUUAUUAUUACAUUUCAAGAAAAGGAAAGAACAACGCAAGCGGAAAACUUUAUGCCAAGUAUAGAAACAAGAAGUCCAAAAGAAUAAAGCUUUUGAUUUCCGAGCCUAGCACAAGCAAAGCAGCAACUCACACAUCUCCUAAUUUUUGUAACAAAGAUGUUCCCGAAAUUGAUGAAUCAGUUGAAAAUUCAUUGAAAGCUUCCUUACUAAGAGAAUGUAAUGAUUGGGGAUCGAUCUGCGAAAAAUGGAAAAGAUCUUUUAACAUACGGCAAAGAGAUAUAAAAAAUUUAAGUAGCCAUACAUUUCUCCUUGAAUGGACGAAGUUGUCCGAUGCAAGAGCUUCAGAAUUGGUAAGUAGCCAUGAGCUAUUUAUUUGUAUAUGGAUACUAAUGUUUCGUUUUAGGUCAACAUUGAUUUCGAUAUUAUGUAUCCACAGAAAGGCAAUCUUCUACUUUCUAAAUGGGACCAAUUUAAGAAAAAAAUUUACAAUUAUUAUGGGAAAAAUAUUCAUAACGAACAUUGCAAACAACUCUUCGCAAAUGUUUUGACGGCAAGCAGCAUAGAUGCUCAAGAUUAUAUAUACGCAAUACUGUUGAAUUCAGUUUUACCAUCACCUGCUAGGUUUAAAUGUGGAAACGGUAAAUUACGAAAAAAAGUAACAAUAGCUGAUUCGCAGGAAAGUUUCGUACUGCGACUACCGACAAUUAACGAUUAUAAAAGGCAAAUUGAUACAGUCACUGAAAAGUAUUACAAUGCUGGAUUAACUAUACAGCCAUUUAUAAUUGUGGAGGGUUUGUCCGAUUUCAAUAUAAAAGGUUUUUAUGUUUUUUUUAACCACAAUUUGUUAAAAUUUCAAUCGUUCCUCGAAUGUUUAGAUACAUGUUUUAAAAUUUUUCAUGCACUUUCUUUAAAAUAUCCAAAUGCCUGCCAAAUUCCAUGGAUUUUUAUCCAAAAAUAUUUUUAUGAAAUUAAUACUGUAUAUGAUAUAAAAUCAGUUAAUUUGACUUCACUUAUUAAUUUCUGCAACAAUAAUUAAAGUACAAUUCAAAAUGUAUAUUUGCUUU